UACGUAGGUGGCAAGCGUUGUCCGGAUUUACUGGGCGUAAAGAGCGCGCAGGCGGUCGUUCAAGUCGCGUGUGAAAGCCCCCGGCUCAACUGGGGAGGGUCACGCGAUACUGAUCGACUCGAAGGCAGGAGAGGGUAGUGGAAUUCCCGGUGUAGUGGUGAAAUGCGUAGAUAUCGGGAGGAACACCAGUGGCGAAGGCGACUACCUGGCCUGUUUCUUGACGCUGAGGCGCGAAAGCUAGGGGAGCAAAGCGGGG
rnacentral:rRNA from 1 species